rnacentral:tRNA from 1 species
GGGCGAUUAGCUCAGCUGGUUAGAGCACUACAAUGACACUGUAGGGGUCACAGGUUCGAGUCCUGUAUCGCCCACCA